UAUAGCAAUAGCUACUUGCAUCAUUGUAAAUAUGAUGCAAGAUCGACUAUGUCGAAUAAAAUUCUAGGUAGAAUUAUGAUAAUGACAUUGUCUGCCUAUGUGUCUUGACCAAAUUACGUGCCAGCAGUCGCGGUAAUACGUAGAAGACUAGUGUUAUUCAUGUUUAAUCGGUUUAAAGGGUACCUAGACGGUAAAUCAAGCCUAAAAGGAAAUAAAUGAAGGGACUAAUUUACUAGAGUUACUUAUGAGGGGGUAUUAAAGUACUGCUGGUGUAGAGAUGAAAUUCUGUCAUACCUCUUUUCAAUAGAAAAAUAAUGGCACAGGUAUAGGCGAAAGCAUCCCCUUAUGUGAUAACUGACGUUGAGGGACGAAGGCUUUGUGUAGCGAACAGGAUUAGAUACCCCAGUAGUCAAAGCAGAAAAUGAUGAAUGUCAUAGAUUAGAUAUAUAAGUUUAUUCUAUAAAUGAAAGUGUAAGCAUUCCACCUCAAGAGUAAUUUGGCAACAUUGGAACUGAAAUCAUUAGACCGUUUCUGAAACCAGUAGUGAAGUAUGUUGUUUAAUUUGAUGAUCCGCAAAAAACCUUACCACAAUUUGAAUAUUUAUAUCUUUUAUUGUUUUUCUUUUUAACUUUAUUCUUAUUUUCUACUUAAAAGAAAACAAUGACAAGAAAAAAGAGGCAAUAAGAU
rnacentral:rRNA from 1 species